UAGCUAAGGAAAAAUUCUAGAAUGCAACGGGUAUAUUAGUGACGUGGCGUAACAAAUUAAUCAAAUUAAUGCUUUUAAGAAUAUAUGUCCCAUCAUGAUUGUAAAAAAAUAUUUUUAUUGUACUUUUGUUUGAAAAAAAGAAAUGUGAUUGACUUGUUAUUGAUGACGUGAUGCAAGUGUGACAAUGUAGAAUUCCUCCAUAGCUAAGGAAUCCGUAUAAUUAUUCUCUCAAUCAAUUAGUGUUAUCUAGAAGAAGCCCCACAAACUAAAUGUUCAAAAAAGAUUAGAAGUAACACCCACUAAUUGAC
rnacentral:lncRNA from 1 species